ensembl:lncRNA
GCUGACUCCCUGAGUUGAAGAGACAGAACUGAGAGUCAGAGGAGAACAAGGUGGCUAGAGUUCUUAGAAUGGAGCACAAGAAAAGAGGGAACUUCAUAGAGAGAGAACUUCAGAGGUCUACAGAAAGCCCGUCUCAAGCAUAUGGCAGAGUAUUGAUCACCACAUACCUGUGACAAAACAACCCAAGUCAAAGGGCCUCUGCAUGUUUAUUGCCGUUAAUACUUGAAACGUUCAAAGCACAAAGGAAACUGGCCAUUCAGCAGAAUCCUGUAAUGAUUUGAAAUUGGAAGACCCUGGUCUGUGUUUGCUUAUUGUCUGCCUACUAUGUGUCAGACACUGAGGUUAUGAAAUUCAAUGGAGAAUGCAAUGGAUGCAUGGUCAUAAACCAUGGAUGGAGGCAGCAUCCACCAAAGUCAGCUCCUCCUACUGGCAAGAAACUCAGCAGAACCUGCACGUGCACUUUGAAGAAGAAACCUUGAUCAGUCCCCCAGGUUUGAGGAGUUUUCUAGAGACAUGAUCUCAUAAGCCAACAGGAGGUUAAAGAUGGUGCAAUUAUUUUAGAGAAGAUGGAUCUACUGGGUCAAUGCUAAAAACAGCCUACUUCAUCUAGAGAAGCAGAGGCAUGUCCAGAUGACCUUCAGACUUCCCUUCCAAUUCUUGGAAUUGAAUAUCAAACAGAUCACAAGCAAGGUAACUACAACUCUUUCUCAUUUCUUCAACAACAAACAUUCACUAAACUCCUACAGUAAACCAGGCACAUUGCCAGAAUCUGAGCAUGCAAAGCUGAAUAAAUGCAAACAUAGCCUUAACCAGAAGGCCAACCUUUCGACAUGAAACUAAAGGAAAGGACCACUAAUUUCUAAUAUUUUAAAGAAAAAAAAAGAACAAUAACUUUUUACGUGCAGUUUCUCGUUUGUUUUUCAAAUAACUCGAUAAUCAAGUAAAUGAUCUUUCCAUUCAACAUAGGAGGCAUCUGAGGCUUGGAGGACUUGAAGAAUUUGUCUAAUGUCAAAAAAAUCAUUCAACAGCAGAGCUGGAAUUUGAGAGGGCAGGUAUAAUAAGUGAGUCACUUCUCCUUAGUCUCUGCCAUUCAUCUUUGGGAUUCUGGGCCUGUGCAAAUCAUGUAAAUCACACUGGAUCAAACCAAUGUAAACCAAACAAAAGUACAUAUUAUAUGAUCAGCUCACCCUAGUCCAUCUCAUAUAUCAGAGGCCCUCUGUUCUUAGCCCCUUGCUCUCUCUGCACUGUAAGCUAGGCUCACGCAAAUGCAAAGUGUGGCUUUGCAUGCUCAAAAUACUCAGUGCAGACCUUGAAGGGUGUGUUACCCAUUUAAGUCAUUGUCUUCCUCUUUAUCAAAAGAGUCCUGAUUUCACAGUACCUUUUAGAACUGAAAUGAGGGAGUCGUGAAUAAAACUAGAAGUCUAGUGUUAGAACAGUCUUAAAGCUCCUGGGCCUCUUAGCUAGAGACAAUAACAGUCAGAGGACUUUUAGCUCCUCAUUCAGGUCCAGAGAGGACUGCAGCUAUCUGCAGUUUCCAUGACAACCAGUUUCUAUAAGUAGAUCUGCCCCAAGCACAGUAGAAGCUUGUAAUCAGUUCUUAAUAAAUGUUCACAAAUGGCUGAUUGAUGACUGGAAAUAUAUCUGUCAU